CACAGACUUAAGCAGAAAUAAGACAAAUACCUCAGUCUGUAGAGCAAAGAGUGAAGCCCACGGCACAGGACUCUCCUGGUCUUCAUCACAGAAGGCACAUUCCUCAUCUGAGGAAGUCUCAAUACUUGUUAAAAGAUCAUUGGCUAUAAAUGCUGCUGCUUCAUCUGUAUCGGUUUCAAAAGAACUUCCACCCAGCAAGGAGUCUUCUGCCCCUUCUAGAGCCAAGUAUGAUGACGCAUCUCUGGAAGAGUAAUCUGAUGGGAGAGAUGACUCAACUGACUCCAUGAUGAUCUCUGACACUCUGUUAUUAGGGCUCUGAUGCACUGCGGCACUUUGCAAAUUAAGAAAAUAGCUCUGAGGAGCCUCAGAGCAAAGUACGUUGGUGACAAGAGGAGGGGCAGAAGGUGGCUUAGGAGGACUGCAAAAAGGUGACUGGUGAAGAACGCCCAUCUCAGGGGCUUUGGGAGAGAAGCUGAUGUUGUUGGGGCCUUGGGAAAAUUUACCUGGAUCAAAAUCCUUUGAACUAGCAAAGCUACCUGAGAAAGCGGUACCACAACUAAAGCCCAUAUCUCUAGAGCACAAAUCCUUAAAGCCCAGGAGAGGUGGCUCUGAGUCAUGGAUGUUGGUAUCUCCGACAAGUUUAUGGCUGUGGCUAAGCUUAGGUGGACCCAACUUAGGUGGUAUGAAUCCUAUAGGAGAAAGAGAAAAUUGGGUGCCAGCAGGGGGAGGGGGAGGAAGAUGGGUGCCACCAAAGAGAGAGGAAGGGGGAGGAGGGUGGGUGCUGCCAGUAAUAGGGGGAGGGGGAGGAAUAUGGGUGCCAGCAGGGAGAAGGGGAGGGGGAGGAAGAUGGGUGCCACCAAAGAGAGAAGAAGGGGAAGGAAUAAGGGUGCCACCAGGGAUAGGGGGAGGGGGAGGAAGAUGGGUGCCACCAAAAAGAGAAGAAGGGGGAGGAAUAAGGGUGCCACCAAAGAGAGGGGGAGGAGGGUGGGUGCUACCAAAGAGAGGGGAAGGAAGAUGGGUGCCAUCAGGGAGAGGAAGAGGGGGAGGAGGGUGGGUACCACCAAGGGGAUGGGGAGGAAGAGAAGAAGGGAUGUCGCAGAGAGGAGACAGGAAGGCAGAACUAGAGCUGCAGGCAGAAAGGUAAGAAAACUCAGCUGUGACUGCAGGAGCAGAGGAAACCAGGGAAUCAGGCACAUUUCGACACUUCUUUGCCAUGAGCAGUUUUCGAAAUCCUCCCCUUUGCUUUGGCUCCAGCCGGUUCCCAUGCAGCUGCUGCUCCACAGCUUUCAGUUGUGGGCGGACACUGAGAGGCAGGUGGAAAUUAAGAGACUGCGCUGUUGCAGGUGACUGUGCUACUGCAGUCCUGUCUUCAAAAUCUUCAGAAAUGUCUAGACUGCACUUCUUUAUAGUCUUUAUUUUCCUUUUUUUAGCAGCGAGUAGCAGUGAUGGUUUCUCAUUCACUUCAGAGGAGACGGAAACG
rnacentral:lncRNA from 1 species